CCUGAGAAACCCAAAAGAUCGAAUGGGGAGAUUCAUCGUCAGCUCAUUUUGUAUAUAUACAAGUUAUGAUAUGGGUUACUACUUGUAGUAUUGCCUGUACAUUCUUGUAUAUUUAGUUGCAAGAUGUUGUCGGCGUGCACUUCUCCCCUAGUAGGACGUCGCGACCCGUUAAGUUGUCGGUCUACGGCCCGAGUGGUAGACUUUAAUAUUUUUUAAAUAUUAAAGACCCUUGGUGUUUUCUGGCUGGCACUUGGCGGUAUUCGUACGGUAUUAAGCCGCAAAUAAUAUGCGUCCAUGUCCGUCGCAAGCGGGGUUAAUUUUUUAGCAGUACGGACCUAGUGCCGUCGCUAUAAUUGACCAGCUGUUGGUUGUACGGUUAUCUAGGACAGGCUUAUUCAAUUAAAAAUACCGGUCAGCGAUGCUACUGCUUUGGGUACUUUCAGA
rnacentral:rRNA from 1 species